rnacentral:rRNA from 1 species
UACGUAGGGUGCAAGCGUUGUCCGGAAUCACUGGGCGUAAAGGGCGCGUAGGCGGCGCGACAAGUCAACGGUGAAAGCCUGGGGCUCAACCCCGGGUCGGCCGUCGAUACUGUUGGGCUUGAGCACUGUAGAGGCAGGUGGAAUUCCGGGUGUAGCGGUGGAAUGCGUAGAGAUCCGGAAGAACACCGGUGGCGAAGGCGGCCUGCUGGGCAGUAGCUGACGCUGAGGCGCGACAGCGUGGGGAGCAAACAGG